AUUCUAGUGCACGGGUUUUACGCAUAUCAGUGAGGAUUCGUCCGAGAUUGCGUUUUUGCUAGUUGAAAACUACAUACCUGACCACUCCAUGCGGGCUUCGGCUUACAUGGGAAUUUUUGGAACCAAAAGAUCUCAUUGAGGAUUUUUG
rnacentral:snRNA from 18 species